CCUACGGGAGGCUGCAGUGAGGAAUCUUCCACAAUGGGCGAAAGCCUGAUGGAGCAACGCCGCGUGCAGGAUGAAGGCCUUCGGGUCGUAAACUGCUUUUAUAAGUGAAGAAUAUGACGGUAACUUAUGAAUAAGCACCGGCUAACUACGUGCCAGCAGCCGCGGUCAUACGUAGGGUGCAAGCAUUAUCCGGAGUGACUGGGCGUAAAGAGUUGCGUAGGUGGUCUGUAAAGUGAAUAGUGAAAUCAGGGGGCUCAACCUCACUGGCUAUUAUUCAAACUCACAGACUCGAGAAUGGUAGAGGUAACUGGAAUUUCUAGUGUAGGAGUGAAAUCCGUAGAUAUUAGAAGGAACACCAAUGGCGUAGGCAGGUUACUGGACCAUUUCUGACACUGAGGCACGAAAGCGUGGGGAGCGAACGGGAUUAGAUACCCUUGUAG
rnacentral:rRNA from 1 species